rnacentral:rRNA from 1 species
UACGGGGGGGGGCAAGCGUUUGUUCGGAAUUACUGGGCGUAAAGGGUUCGUAGGUGGCCAACUAAGUCAGACGUGAAAUCCCUCAGCUUAACUGGGGAACUGCGUCUGAGACUGGAUGGCUUGAGUGCAGGAGAGGAACGCGGAAUUCCAGGUGUAGCGGUGAAAUGCGUAGAUAUCUGGAGGAACACCGGUGGCGAAGGCGGCAUCCUGGACCGGUAUUGACGCUGAGGCGCGAAAGCCAGGGGAGCAAAGCGGG